rnacentral:rRNA from 1 species
AGUGAACGCUGGCGGUAGGCCUAACACAUGCAAGUCGAACGGCAGCACAGUAAGAGCUUGCUCUUACGGGUGGCGAGUGGCGGACGGGUGAGGAAUACAUCGGAAUCUACUUUUUCGUGGGGGAUAACGUAGGGAAACUUACGCUAAUACCGCAUACGACCUACGGUUGAAAGCAGGGGAUCUUCGGACCUUGCGCGAUUGAAUGAGCCGCUGUCGGAUUAGCUAGUUGGCGGGGUAAAGGCCCACCAAGGCGACGAUCCGUAGCUGGUCUGAGAGGAUGAUCAGCCACACUGGAACUGAGACACGGUCCAGACUCCUACGGGAGGCAGCAGUGGGGAAUAGUGGACAAUGGGCGCAAGCCUGAUCCAGCCAUACCGCGUGGGUGAAGAAGGCCUUCGGGUUGUAAAGCCCUUUUGUUGGGAAAGAAAAGCAGCAGGUUAAUACCCCGCUGUUCUGACGGUACCCAAAGAAUAAGCACCGGCUAACUUCGUG